AACUUUGCUCAGUGACAGUAUGGUAGCCAAUGCGGUUUAUCCGAGGCAUGAUUAUUGCUAAUUGCAAACUUUUCCCAAUGCCCCGCCAUGACUACUUGAAAAGAGUCUCCUAUUUAGAAAAUC
ensembl:snRNA U4 U4 spliceosomal RNA